GGUCUGGUGGUCUAGCGGUAUGAUUCUCGCUUAGGGUACACCCUAAAGUCUAGUUUGCGAGAGGUCCCGGGUUCAAUUCCCGGCCAGACCC